rnacentral:lncRNA from 1 species
CAAGCAAAUCGUUGCUGCAGAGAGGUCAUUAGACCAUGGAGACAUGAAGAUUUAAACACAUAUAUUAAAUUAUGUAGAGACAUUAAUGAACAAGGGCAAGUCUUGGCAGCUGCAGUACAACAGGCUUUAGAUGCCAGGCCAAAAACAUGCUACAAUUGUGAACAAACAGGACAUUUUAAAAGGAGUUGCCCCAUAGGAGGAGGGUUUAACAAAGCUAGAUAUCAAAGGAAUAGAAUACCAGGUAUUUGCCCACGAUGCCGUAGAGGGAGAUAUUGGGCUAAUGAAUGCCAUUCUCAAAUUACCAUAGAGGGUACUCCAUUAUCAAAAAAUGGACAAGGACCAGGUGUUUACCCAUGAUAUUGUGGAGAAAAGCAUCAGGCUCCAUUGCCAAAAAACAGACUGGGGGGCCCAAUGCUCUGGGGCCCACAACCACAAAUAUACGGGGCAAUGGAGGAACCCAGCAACACCAUCAGGGUAGUGCCCAGGACACAUUAACCAUUAAAUCCCUCAUCAGACAAACCAGAGGGAGCGCAGGGUUGGACAUCUGCGCCUCCGCCAGAGCAGUACUAACUCCAGAGAUGGGAGUUCAAAUAAUUCCCACAGGAGUAAAAGGACCAUUUCCCCAAGAAACAGUAGGCUUAUUAUUGGGACACAGUUCUUCUACACUAAAAGGACUUAUGAUAAGUCCUGGGGUAAUUGAUCCUGAUUAUGAAGGUGAAAUAAAAAUUAUUAGCUAGUUCUCCAAGAGGUAUAUCAGUAAUUUCACCAGGAGAUAGAAUAGCACAGUUAUUAAUAAUACCCAGCCUGCAUGAUAAAUUUUCAGUCGUACUAUAGAAAGAGGUUCCAGGGGAUUAGGUUCCACAGGUGUAGAUUGGGCUAUGCUGUCUUUAAAUUUAGAUUCUCGCCCAAUGCUAAAACUAAAUAUUCAAGGACAUGAAUUUAAUGGGCUACUGGACACAAGUGCUGACCUUAGCAUCAUAUCUCGUCAAGAAUGGCCAAAACAUUGGCCGUUACAACAAGCCACUCAAACGCUUUGAGGCCUAGGAGUGGCAACUAAUCCCCAUAGAAGUGCGAUGGUAUUAGAUUAGAAGGAUCCUGAAGAAUGUGAAGGAACUAUACAGCCAUAUGUAUUGGAUCAUCUUCCUAUAAAUUUAUGGGGACGAGAUGUCCUAGAUCAAUUAGGUUUGACAUUAACAAAUAACAUCAAUCCUAACGCCCUCACUACUAGGGCUAGACAAGGUUUUAGGAAAGAAAAAAGAUUAAGAAAACAAGAACAAGGUAUAGCAGCACCAAUUCAAAUAGAUCAAGGAAUAAAUAGACAUGGAUAGGGUUUUCAAAAAGGGCCACUGAGACAAUCAAAAUUACUUGGAAAUCAGAAAGACCAGUAUGGGUUCCUCAGUGGCCCCUGACUAAAGAAAAGAUACAAGCAGCCCAUGACCUGGUCAAACAACAAUUAGCAGAGGGACAUAUACAACCUUCCAUAUCUCCCCAUAAUACUCCCAUUUUUGUCAUUAAAAAGAAAUCUGGUAAAUGGAGAUUAUUGCAAGAUUUAAGAGCCAUUAAUAAUGAGAUGGUUAUUAUGGGACCUGCUCAAUCAGGGAUUCCCCAAUUGUCUG